CUAGACUGGAACUCCUGGGUGCAAGGGAUCCUCCUGCCUCAGCCUCCCAAGUAGCCAGGACUACAAAACACAUGCCAGGCACCUAGCCUCUAGCAGCCAUUUUCCUACCCUGCUUUUUUGCCAACAGAGCUCUCCUCAUAUUCCAAGAAGCUAAAAAUCCAGAUACUCAAUUUCUGUACCUCUUUGAGUCAGUGCUUAGACAUGUGAUGAAGUCCUGUCCAAUGGGACUUCAAGAUAACAUUUCAUGGAAUAAAGCGAGAAAUAAACAACAGAAAUACUCUCUCAUACCCUUCCUACUUUUGGACAUGACUGGAGAGGGAUUUUUUUUCUUGCAGCUGGACCUUGCAGCUAUGAAGAAACACAGGUCACUGAUACACCGAAGAUGACAGAGGAGCAAGAAAGAAUCUGGACUCAUCAGGGUCCGUAACCACUCCUGUUUUAUUCAUUGAUUUGAUGGCCUCUUGCCGGAAGGAACAACAAGGAAUCAGGUGUCAUACUUCAGUCCUGAGCCAGAAGAAAGUUCCCUGCGGCCAGAGAGGAAAGUGUCCUUUCUUUGGAGAGGAACAGAAGCACUCCAUUAUGUGGAGAAUGCGUUCCAGAGAAUGCAUUCUCUGGAGAAGGGCAUCCAGAAUUUGGAAUUCCGAGUCAUUCUGCAGAUGGAUCAGGGUUUCACCAUGUUUGCCGGGCUGGACUUGAACUCCUGACCUCGUGAUCUACCCGCCUCAGCCUCACAAAGUGCUGGGAUUACAGGUGUGAGCCACUGCACCCAGCCUGAACAUGUAGCUUUCUUUAGUCUGUAAUUAUGACAUAAUAAAUGGACUGAUUUUCAAAUAUUUAACCA
rnacentral:lncRNA from 13 species